UCGGUGGGGAUUAAUGGCGAACGGGUGAGUAACAUUGUGGGCAAUCUGCCCUGCACUCUGGGACAAGCCCUGGAAACGGGGUCUAAUACCGGAUACUGACCCUCACGGGCAUCUGUGAGGUUCGAAAGCUCCGGCGGUGCAGGAUGAGCCCGCGGCCUAUCAGCUUGUUGGUGAGGUAAUGGCUCACCAAGGCGACAACCGGUAGCCGGCCUGAGAGGGCGACCGGCCACACUGGGACUGAGACACGGCCCAGACUCCUACGGGAGGCAGCAGUGGGGAAUAUUGCACAAUGGGCGAAAGCCUGAUGCAGCGACCCCCCGUGAGGGAUGACGGCCUUCGGGUUGUAAACCUCUUUCAGCAGGGAAGAAGCGAAAGUGACGGUACCUGCAGAAGAAGCGCCGGCUAACUACGUGCCAGCAGCCGCGGUAAUACGUAGGGCGCGAGCGUUGUCCGGAAUUAUUGGGCGUAAAGAGCUCGUAGGCGGCUUGUCACGUCGGUUGUGAAAGCCCGGGGCUUAACCCCGGGUCUGCAGUCGAUACGGGCAGGCUAGAGUUCGGUAGGGGAGAUCGGAAUUCCUGGUGUAGCGGUGAAAUGCGCAGAUAUCAGGAGGAACACCGGUGGCGAAGGCGGAUCUCUGGGCCGAUACUGACGCUGAGGAGCGAAAGCGUGGGGAGCGAACAGGAUUAGAUACCCUGGUAGUCCACGCCGUAAACGGUGGGCACUAGGUGUGGGGCAACAUUCCACGUUGUCCGUGCCGCAGCUAACGCAUUAAGUGCCCCGCCUGGGGAGUACGGCCGCAAGGCUAAAACUCAAAGGAAUUGACGGGGGCCCGCACAAGCGGCGGAGCAUGUGGCUUAAUUCGACGCAACGCGAAGAACCUUACCAAGGCUUGACAUACACCGGAAACCUCCAGAGAUAGGGCCCCCCUUGUGGUCGGUGUACAGGUGGUGCAUGACGGUCGUCAGCUCGUGUCGUGAGAUGUUGGGUUAAGUCCCGCAACGAGCGCAACCCUUGUCCCGUGUUGCCAGCAGGCCCUUGUGGUGGUGGGGACUCACGGGAGACCGCCGGGGUCAACUCGGAGGAAGGUGGGGACGACGUCAAGUCAUCAUGCCCCUUAUGUCUUGGGCUGCACACGUGCUACAAUGGCCGGUACAAUGAGCUGCGAUACCGCGAGGUGGAGCGAAUCUCAAAAAGCCGGUCUCAGUUCGGAUUGGGGUCUGCAACUCGACCCCAUGAAGUAGGAGUCGCUAGUAAUCGCAGAUCAGCAUUGUUGCGGUGAAUACGUUCCCGGGCCUUGUACACACCCCCCGU
rnacentral:rRNA from 1 species